rnacentral:rRNA from 1 species
GGAAUGCGUCUUAGGAUUGUAAAAUUCUUUCACCGGGGACGAUAAUGACGGUACCCGGAGAAGAAGCCCCGGCUAACUUCGUGCCAGCAGCCGCGGUAAUACGAAGGGGGCUAGCGUUGCUCGGAAUUACUGGGCGUAAAGGGCGCGUAGGCGGAUCGUUAAGUCAGAGGUGAAAUCCCAGGGCUCAACCCUGGAACUGCCUUUGAUACUGGCGAUCUUGAGUAUGAGAGAGGUAUGUGGAACUCCGAGUGUAGAGGUGAAAUUCGUAGAUAUUCGGAAGAACACCAGUGGCGAAGGCGACAUACUGGCUCAUUACUGACGCUGAGGCGCGAAAGCGUGGGGAGCAAACAGGAUUAGAUACCCUGGUAGUCCACGCCGUAAACGAUGAUUGCUAGUUGUCGGGCUGCAUGCAGUUCGGUGACGCAGCUAACGCAUUAAGCACUCCCCCCUGGGGGGAGAACGCAUUAAGCACUCCGCCUGGGGGAGA